UUCAUGAAUAUUAGAUUAUCAAGGAAAGGGUGUCACCUUUUUGCAGCAACCUGGGGUGUUCCCUCUGGCAAUUUAUCAGCUCACCAUCAUACCCCCUGGGGGAAAAAAGAAGAAGUCUUAAACAUGCUUCCUCCUACCAAGCAGUAUAAAAAGCCUGUGCUCUAGGCUUCUUCCAAAUACUUAUCUUAAUUUCUGCACUUCUCAGAGAAAUAGAUCCACCUCUAAACCUCAAAGAUGUCUGCUGGCCGUCGUUCUGGUAUGUGGCAGGAUUCUUGCUACGCCCAGUGCCCUCCUUCAACAGUGACCAUCCAGCCACCACCUUUUGUCCUGACCAUCCCAGGGCCAGCUCUCUGUUGCCCUGACCAGCCUUUUGCCAUUCAGCAGUACAACCCAUGUGCUGACAGAUAUGGUGGUGGCAGAUCUUCUCUAUAUGCCAGUGGUGGCUCCAACAUGUCCGAGUUCUACUCUCAGCCCCAGCUACCAUGGAGCCAAUUCUAAAUCAAGACCAAAGAAGGAUGUGCAUGGAAGAACGAUAGGGCAAACAAAAAGAAAGGAAGAGCUGGACCAGUUCCUACCACUGCCUUCUGAGAUAUUGAACACCCAGCGUCAGAACUGGCACAAGCAACAGCCUGUGGCAUCUGAAUUGGGCAUUGUGGAAUUGGGAGAAACAGCCAGAGAGAGAUUGCUAUAUGAACGCCACACUGGGGCCCUUCCCUAAAACCCCCAGUGUAAUGUCCUAAGAAGAUCUCUCUCCACCCAAAAAGAAAAAGAAAAUGCAACCCUGAUUGUGAAUGCUCCCAUUUCUGAACAUGCAUUGUAUACCAUUUGGAUUUGUGAUCUUCUUCCAUCCUGUUCUAAGACCCUUGCUUUCUUGCAGGAAGAAAGUAUUAUGGAACAUGGUGUCUUUCAGUCUGUAUUCUAUUUGCCCUUUUCACUGAACUAUUUUCAUCUCUUUGCUCUUGUAUUAAAAUUUCCAUUGCAUCGUAAAA